UUGACGGGGAGCACCACAACGGGUGGAGCUUGUCGGUUUAAUUGGAUUCAACGCCGGAAAUCUUACCGGACCGACAGCAAUAUGAAGGCCAGGCUGAAGACUUUGCCGGAUUAGCUGAGAGGUGGUGCAUGGCCGUCGUCAGUUCGUACUGUGAAGCAUCCUGUUAAGUCAGGCAACGAGCGAGACCCACGCCCACAGUUGCCAGCGUACUCUCCGGAGUGACGGGUACACUGUGGGGACCGCCGCUGCUAAAGCGGAGGAAGGAAUGGGCAACGGUAGGUCAGUAUGCCCCGAAUAUCCCGGGCUACACGCGAGCUACAAUGGUUGGUACAAUGGGUAUCUACCCCGAAAGGGGACGGGAAUCUCCUAAAACCAAUCUUAGUUCGGAUUGAGGGCUGCAACUCGCCCUCAUGAAGCUGGAAUCCGUAGUAAUCGCGUUUCAACAGAACGCGGUGAAUACGUCCCUGCUCCUC
rnacentral:rRNA from 1 species